AUACAUGCAAGUCGAGCGCAGNANGCCGUUCCGAACCCUUCGGGGGGACGACGGNGGAAUGAGCGGCGGACGGGUGAGUAACACGUAAAGAACCUGCCCAUAGGUCUGGGAUAACCACGAGAAAUCGGGGCUAAUACCGGAUGUGUCAUCGGACCGCAUGGUCCGAUGAUGAAAGGCGCUCCGGCGUCGCCCAUGGAUGGCUUUGCGGUGCAUUAGCUAGUUGGUGGGGUAAUGGCCCACCAAGGCGACGAUGCAUAGCCGACCUGAGAGGGUGAUCGGCCACACUGGGACUGAGACACGGCCCAGACUCCUACGGGAGGCAGCAGUAGGGAAUCUUCCACAAUGGACGAAAGUCUGAUGGAGCAACGCCGCGUGAACGAUGAAGGUUUUCGGAUCGUAAAGUUCUGUUGUAAGGGAAGAACAAGUGCCGCANGCAAUGGCGGCACCUUGACGGUACCUUGCGAGAAAGCCACGGCUAACUACGUGCCAGCAGCCGCGGUAAUACGUAGGUGGCAAGCGUUGUCCGGAAUUAUUGGGCGUAAAGCGCGCGCAGGCGGCCUCUUAAGUCUGAUGUGAAAGCCCCCGGCUCAAACGGGGAGGGGCAUUGGAAACUGGGAGGCU
rnacentral:rRNA from 1 species